ACUUUCAACAACGGAUCUCUUGGCUCUUGCAUCGAUGAAGAACGCAGCGAAAUGCGAUAAGUAAUGUGAAUUGCAGAAUUUCCGUGAAUCAUUGAAUCUUUGAACGCAAAUUGCACUUCUUGGUAUUCCGAGGAGUAUGCUUGCUUGAGGGUUG
rnacentral:rRNA from 1 species